UUAUUUCUUCUACCUGUCCACGAGAGAUGUUACACCAAUUCUGGGACAUCCUGUAUAUAUAUAUAAAACCGUAAACUGUUUUUGGGCCGCAACGGGAUAUGUCAAUAUUCGUCUAUUGACCACUCCUAUAUGUAUGCAAAAUUCCAUCAAAAUCAGAAUGUUCGCGAGAUUCCCUUCAUCUCUGUAUGGAAAAAUAAAAAGAGUAAGAUGGACAGAAGACGAGAAGCAAGCAGUGCUACAAGCGUUUGCGCGACACGUU